rnacentral:rRNA from 1 species
GUCCACGCCGUAAACGAUGACUACUAGGUGUCGGGGAGCAAAGCUCUUCGGUGCCGCAGCAAACGCAAUAAGUAGUCCACCUGGGGAGUACGUUCGCAAGAAUGAAACUCAAAGGAAUUGACGGGGACCCCGCACAAGCGGUGGAGCAUGUGGUUUAAUUCGAAGCAACGCGAAGAACCUUACCUGCUCUUGACAUCCCGGUGACCGGCAUGUAAUGAUGCCUUUUCUUCGGAACACCGGUGACAGGUGGUGCAUGGUUGUCGU